UUUUCGCACUGAAAUUUUGGUUCGGUAUCGAAUUUCUGUACCGAUUAAAAGGGAAUCAGGUAAAUGCCUGAGCUGUUCCCGCAACUGUAAGCUAAGCCCGCACGGGCGGCUGCAAAACGCUUCAAACCACUGACGUUUUUUGUUGGGAAGGUAUUUUGCAGUACGCGAGCCAGGAGACCUGCCAGAGUUCAAACUAACAUC
rnacentral:ncRNA from 15 species